AGAACGAACGCUGGCGGCAGGCUUAACACAUGCAAGUCGAACGCUCACCUUCGGGUGGGAGUGGCAGACGGGUGAGUAACGCGUGGGAACGUACCCUUUGGUUCGGAAUAACCCAGGGAAACUUGGGCUAAUACCGGAUAAGCAGGAAACUGGAAAGGUUUACCGCCGAAGGAUCGGCCCGCGUCGGACUAGCUAGUUGGUGGGGUAAAGGCCCACCAAGGCGACGAUCCGUAGCUGGUCUGAGAGGAUGAUCAGCCACACUGGGACUGAGACACGGCCCAGACUCCUACGGGAGGCAGCAGUGGGGAAUAUUGGACAAUGGGCGCAAGCCUGAUCCAGCCAUGCCGCGUGAGUGAAGAAGGCCUUAGGGUUGUAAAGCUCUUUCAGCGGGGAAGAUAAUGACGGUACCGCAGAAGAAGCCCGGCUAACUUCGCGCCAGCAGCCGC
rnacentral:rRNA from 1 species